CCUACGGGAGGCAGCAGUGAGGAAUAUUGGUCAAUGGGCGGAAGCCUGAACCAGCCAAGUAGCGUGCGGGAUGAAGGCCCUACGGGUCGUAAACCGCUUUUGCACGGGGAUAACACCCUCCACUUGUGGAGGUCUGCAGGUACCGUGCGAAUAAGGGCCGGCUAAUUCCGUACCAGCAGCCGCGGUAAUACGGAAGGCCCGAGCGUUAUCCGGAUUCAUUGGGCUUAAAGGGAGCGUAGGCGGGCGUUCAAGUCAGCUGUAAAAUCGCGCGGCUCAACCGCGCCCCGCAGUUGAAACUGGACGCAUUGAGUUCACAACAGGCAGGCGGAAUUCGUGGUGUAGCGGUGAUAUGCAUAGAUAUCACGAGGAACCCCGAUUGCGAAGGCAGCCUGCCGGGGUGCGACUGACGCUGAGGCUCGAAGGUGCGGGUAUCAAACAGGAUUAGAUACCCCUGUAGUC
rnacentral:rRNA from 1 species